rnacentral:rRNA from 1 species
UGGGGAAUAUUGGACAAUGGGCGAAAGCCUGAUCCAGCCAUGCCGCGUGUGUGAAGAAGGUCUUCGGAUUGUAAAGCACUUUAAGUUGGGAGGAAGGGCAGUUACCUAAUACGUGAUUGUUUUGACGUUACCGACAGAAUAAGCACCGGCUAACUCUGUGCCAGCAGCCGCGGUAAUACAGAGGGUGCAAGCGUUAAUCGGAAUUACUGGGCGUAAAGCGCGCGUAGGUGGUUAGUUAAGUUGGAUGUGAAAUCCCCGGGCUCAACCUGGGAACUGCAUUCAAAACUGACUGACUAGAGUAUGGUAGAGGGUGGUGGAAUUUCCUGUGUAGCGGUGAAAUGCGUAGAUAUAGGAAGGAACACCAGUGGCGAAGGCGACCACCUGGACUGAUACUGACACUGAGACGCGAAAGCGUGGGGAGCAAACAGGAUUAGAUACCCAGGUAGUCCCUGAGCGGGCUGGCAAGGCGCAU